rnacentral:rRNA from 1 species
UACCAGCACCCCGAGUGGUCGGGACGUUUAUUGGGCCUAAAGCAUCCGUAGCCGGUCAUGCAAGUCUUCCGUUAAAUCCAGCCGCUCAACGGUUGGGCUGCGGAGGAUACUACGUGGCUAGGAGGCGGGAGAGGCAAGCGGUACUCAGUGGGUAGGGGUAAAAUCCUCUGAUCCAUUGAAGACCACCAGUGGCGAAGGCGGCUUGCCAGAACGCGAUAGACGGUGAGGGAUGAAAGCUGGGGGAGCAAAACGG